GUCCUAUUGUAUUAUUUAAUAGGUCUGGCCUGCCCAGUGAUAAUUUUAACGGCCGCGGUAUAUUGACCGUGCAAAGGUAGCAUAAUCAUUAGUCUUUUAAUAGGAGGCUGGAAUGAAAGGUUUAACGAGAAAUUAACUGUCUCAAUUGCAAUCUUGAAUUUAUCUUUUGAGUCAAAAGACUUAAAUAUAAUUGGUGGACGAGAAGACCCUAUAGAGCUUUACAAUUAUUUUUUUUAUAUUUAUUCAGAGAUAUUAUUUAUUUGUAUUAAAAAAAUUGUUUUGUUGGGGUGACAAUAAAUAUAUAUUUAACUUUUAUCAUAAUAUUAACAUUAAUUUAUGAUUUUUGGAUCCAAAAAUUUUGAUCAUUAGACUAAGUUACC
rnacentral:rRNA from 1 species